AAGAUGGAGAGUAGCCCCAGGCCUUUCGUGACCUCUUCUUGAGCUGUGUUGGCUUGGAAACCAGGGGUUCACACAAGCUGGGGUCCGCCCUGAGACUCCAUUACACAGCGUUAUUAAAAACUACUCAAAUUGAGCUGAUCCUGGCUUUCCAUCAUGCUGCUUCAGGACCCUCCAGCCACACUCACUCCAGGUUCUGCGACUCUGUGAUUCUAUUCUGGAAUCUCCACAGCUUUCCUAUCCUUUCCUUCUGACCAAAUUCUACAUUCACUUUGAGGUCAGCCGGUGCGCAUCACAAACCCUUGCCAACUCUUCUGCUUAGAGCAAGUCACUCUCAUCAGCAGCACCCGCAGCACCCUGCCUCAGCAGAUGCUUCCAAAUGUGUCCCCUUCUGAGCCAGAGAGCUCAGUCGAUAAGGCCUCAGAAGAGUUCCUGACACUCUGAGGGAACCACACCAAGCCUUUCAAGUGUUCUCCUGGGCUUCAUCUUCUGUCUACAUCACCCAGCCAAGAUACCAGCCUGCCACUGAGCUCAGCAGAUGUCCGUGGUAUGAAUGGAUUCCGAGCAGACGGCACAAAAAUGAAGAAGAUGGGAGAAUGGUUGGGAGCCACCCUCUAAUAGAGGAUUACAUUUAAAUACAUUAAAGAUGGGAGCUGUCGUAUGGGUUAGCA
rnacentral:lncRNA from 1 species